rnacentral:rRNA from 1 species
AUUAGCUUGUUGGCGGGGUAACGGCCCACCAAGGCGACGAUCAGUAGCCGGCCUGAGAGGGUGGACGGCCACAUUGGGACUGAGACACGGCCCAAACUCCUACGGGAGGCAGCAGUAGGGAAUCUUCCACAAUGGGCGAAAGCCUGAUGGAGCAACGCCGCGUGGGUGAAGAAGGUCUUCGGAUCGUAAAACCCUGUUGUUAGAGAAGAAAGUGCGUGAGAGUAACUGUUCACGUUUCGACGGUAUCUAACCAGAAAGCCACGGCUAACUACGUGCCAGCAGCCGCGGUAAUACGUAGGUGGCAAGCGUUAUCCGGAUUUAUUGGGCGUAAAGGGAACGCAGGCGGUCUUUUAAGUCUGAUGUGAAAGCCUUCGGCUUAACCGGAGUAGUGCAUUGGAAACUGGGAGACUUGAGUGCAGAAGAGGAGAGUGGAACUCCAUGUGUAGCGGUGAAAUGCGUAGAUAUAUGGAGGAACACCAGUGGCGAAGGCGGCUUCCUGGUCUGCAACUGACACUGAGGCGCGAAAGCGUGGGGAGCAAACAGGAUUAGAUACCCUGGUAGUCCACGCCGUAAACGAUGAGUGCUAAGUGUUGGGGGUCGAACCUCAGUGCUGAAGUUAACGCAUUAAGCACUCCGCCUGGGGAGUACGGUCGCAAGACUGAAACUC